GCCAAUGCGGUGAGGAGGAAGAGGAGCCCAAACAACAUCGCGUCACCAGUGGGUCAGAAGUGGUGGCUUGGGUUAAAGAGGAGGAACUUGGCUGCACUCUGGACAUCAUUGACGGCCAUGAAUAUGGAUGUGCAAACAAACAAACUGAAAGUGUUUCCUAUGUCACAUGCCAUAUGCCUACCAACCGUAAGAAAGUUCCCAAGAAAGAAAGAUCACAAGGAGUGUGAGUGAAAGUGAAACUGGUAAGAUUAUAAAAGGGGACGGAGGCAGACAUACAGCAUAUUUCACUUGGAAAGACAAGAUAAAGGCAUAGACAUGGGAGCUGUGUAUAGUUUUCUCUACCCUGAGGCUUCCUCAGAAGAUGCCCUCACUGAGAAGCCCCUGGCAAAUGGCCCAACUCCAGCCCAACCUGUGGCCCAGAAUGGAUCCGACAUCACAGGAGUCUCUCCAGCCCAACCUGUGGCCCUGAAUGGAUCCGACAUCACAGGAGUCUCUCCAGCCCAACCUGUGGCCCUAAAUGGAUCCGACAUCACAGGAGUCUCUCCAGCCCAACCUGUGGACCUGAAUGGAUCCGACAUCACAGGAGUCUCUCCUGCCCAACCUGUGGCCCAGAAUGGAUCCGACAUCACAGGAGUCUGUCCAGCAGGAUCUUCACCUGAAGUUGAUGAAGUAGACAAAAGGAAUAUCUUUGUGAAGCAUGCUGGGAAGAGUGUGGAGCUUGAGGUGUUUCCUGAUGAAAGGGUAAAGGUCCUCCUGCAAGAUGCUUGCCAGCACUUCACGAAGAAGGAUAAGCUCAUGAAAAUGGUUUACAAAGGGGAGGAACUGGAUGUGAGGAAAACCAUCAGAGAAUCCCAUCUCCGAGCAGGAUGUGAAGUCAACCUCAUCAGAACUUGAGGAUGUACACUUCAAUAUGGUCCAAAUGCUAUGUUUACAAGUAAUUUAAUAAUUUAGUAAUUUAAUAUAUACAGGAUUGUGUCUUUAGUCAUCAUAAGCUUGCAGUAUAAAUAGAAUCAUCUGUCGUUCGUCAUGGUCUUUUGAAGUUGUGUAGUUUCUUAUGUCACUUUGUAAAGUUUACCUCUGGAAAAAAGUUUAAAUGUUGUGUCUUCUAUUCCAUUUUCAAUAAUUUACAUUUGUAAUAAGUUGUACAUCAUCAUCAUUGCUGUUAUUAUAUUGUCUGACCUCUAAUUAAAGUGACAUGCAUCUAAGAAGACCUUGUUCACAAUUCCUUUCACACAGACAAUCCACAAUAGCAGUUUCCUGCCACCUACAGGUCUGCUGAGGUAAUGAACUAAAAAAUCUGGUUACUGUGUCUACAAGAUGCCAGUAAGAUCAACGUCAUUAAUAUAAAGAAAUAAUAAACUAAUGUAUUUAAUGUUAAGUCCUUGAUAU
rnacentral:lncRNA from 1 species